CUAUGCGCCUUGCCAGCCCGCUCAGGUGUGCCAGCCGCCGCGGUAAUACGUAGGUGGCAAGCGUUAUCCGGAUUUAUUGGGUGUAAAGGGCGUGUAGGCGGGAAUGCAAGUCAGAUGUGAAAACUAUGGGCUCAACCCAUAGCCUGCAUUUGAAACUGUAUUUCUUGAGUGCUGGAGAGGCAAUCGGAAUUCCGUGUGUAGCGGUGAAAUGCGUAGAUAUACGGAGGAACACCAGUGGCGAAGGCGGAUUGCUGGACAGUAACUGACGCUGAGGUUCGAAAGCGUGGGUAGCAAACAGG
rnacentral:rRNA from 1 species